rnacentral:rRNA from 1 species
GGUUGAUAUUCCCGUACCGGUGUUGAUGCGUCCAUGCUGAGGCCGGGUGUGCUAACCAUUUCGAGUCUUCAUGUCCUUUCGGGGGUGUGGGGGUGAGGGUGGGAUCCUGUCUGGUAGUAGGCAAGCGAUGGGGUGACGCAGGAGGGUAGUCCAGCCCAGGCGGUGGUUGUCCUGGGGCAAGGGUGUAGGACGGGGUGUAGGUAAAUCCGCAUCUCAUGUGUCUGAGACCUGAUGCCGAGCC